AACGAACGCUGGCGGCAUGCCUAACACAUGCAAGUCGAACGAGACCUUCGGGUCUAGUGGCGCCCGGGUGCGUUACGCGUGGGAUCCUGCCCUUAGGUUCGGAAUACCUCCCCGUAAGGGGUGCUAAUACCGGAUAUAGUCUCCGGAACAAAGAUUUAUUGCCUUUGGAUGGGCCCGCGUUGGAUUAGCUAGUUGGUAGGGUAACAGCCUACCAAGGCGACGAUCCGUAGCUGGUCUGAGAGGGUGAGCGGCCACACUGGGACUGAGACACGGCCCAGACUCCUACGGGAGGCAGCAGUGGGGAAUAUUGGACAAUGGGGGAAAGCCUGAUCCAGCAAUGCCGCGUGAGUGAAGAAGGCCUUAGGGUUGUAAAGCUCUUUUACCCGGGAUGAUAAUGACGGUACCGGGAGAAUAAGCUCCGGCUAACUCCGUG
rnacentral:rRNA from 1 species